UUAAGCGACUAAGCGUACACGGUGGAUGCCCUGGCAGUCAGAGGCGAUGAAGGACGUGCUAAUCUGCGAUAAGCGUCGGUGAGGUGAUAUGAACCGUUAUAACCGGCGAUUUCCGAAUGGGGAAACCCAGUGUGUUUCGACACACUAUCAUUAACUGAAUCCAUAGGUUAAUGAGGCGAACCGGGGGAACUGAAACAUCUAAGUACCCCGAGGAAAAGAAAUCAACCGAGAUUCCCCCAGUAGCGGCGAGCGAACGGGGAGGAGCCCAGAGCCUGAAUCAGUGUGUGUGUUAGUGGAAGCGUCUGGAAAGGCGUGCGAUACAGGGUGACAGCCCCGUACACAAAAAUGCACAUAUUGUGAGCUCGAUGAGUAGGGCGGGACACGUGGUAUCCUGUCUGAAUAUGGGGGGACCAUCCUCCAAGGCUAAAUACUCCUGACUGACCGAUAGUGAACCAGUACCGUGAGGGAAAGGCGAAAAGAACCCCGGCGAGGGGAGUGAAAAAGAACCUGAAACCGUGUACGUACAAGCAGUGGGAGCCUCUUAAUGGGGUGACUGCGUACCUUUUGUAUAAUGGGUCAGCGACUUAUAUUCUGUAGCAAGGUUAACCGAAUAGGGGAGCCGAAGGGAAACCGAGUCUUAACUGGGCGUUAAGUUGCAGGGUAUAGACCCGAAACCCGGUGAUCUAGCCAUGGGCAGGUUGAAGGUUGGGUAACACUAACUGGAGGACCGAACCGACUAAUGUUGAAAAAUUAGCGGAUGACUUGUGGCUGGGGGUGAAAGGCCAAUCAAACCGGGAGAUAGCUGGUUCUCCCCGAAAGCUAUUUAGGUAGCGCCUCGUGAAUUCAUCUCCGGGGGUAGAGCACUGUUUCGGCAAGGGGGUCAUCCCGACUUACCAACCCGAUGCAAACUGCGAAUACCGGAGAAUGUUAUCACGGGAGACACACGGCGGGUGCUAACGUCCGUCGUGAAGAGGGAAACAACCCAGACCGCCAGCUAAGGUCCCAAAGUCAUGGUUAAGUGGGAAACGAUGUGGGAAGGCCCAGACAGCCAGGAUGUUGGCUUAGAAGCAGCCAUCAUUUAAAGAAAGCGUAAUAGCUCACUGGUCGAGUCGGCCUGCGCGGAAGAUGUAACGGGGCUAAACCAUGCACCGAAGCUGCGGCAGCGACACUAUGUGUUGUUGGGUAGGGGAGCGUUCUGUAAGCCUGUGAAGGUGGCCUGUGAGGGUUGCUGGAGGUAUCAGAAGUGCGAAUGCUGACAUAAGUAACGAUAAAGCGGGUGAAAAGCCCGCUCGCCGGAAGACCAAGGGUUCCUGUCCAACGUUAAUCGGGGCAGGGUGAGUCGACCCCUAAGGCGAGGCCGAAAGGCGUAGUCGAUGGGAAACAGGUUAAUAUUCCUGUACUUGGUGUUACUGCGAAGGGGGGACGGAGAAGGCUAUGUUGGCCGGGCGACGGUUGUCCCGGUUUAAGCGUGUAGGCUGGUUUUCCAGGCAAAUCCGGAAAAUCAAGGCUGAGGCGUGAUGACGAGGCACUACGGUGCUGAAGUAACAAAUGCCCUGCUUCCAGGAAAAGCCUCUAAGCAUCAGGUAACAUCAAAUCGUACCCCAAACCGACACAGGUGGUCAGGUAGAGAAUACCAAGGCGCUUGAGAGAACUCGGGUGAAGGAACUAGGCAAAAUGGUGCCGUAACUUCGGGAGAAGGCACGCUGAUAUGUAGGUGAAGCGACUUGCUCGUGGAGCUGAAAUCAGUCGAAGAUACCAGCUGGCUGCAACUGUUUAUUAAAAACACAGCACUGUGCAAACACGAAAGUGGACGUAUACGGUGUGACGCCUGCCCGGUGCCGGAAGGUUAAUUGAUGGGGUUAGCGGUAACGCGAAGCUCUUGAUCGAAGCCCCGGUAAACGGCGGCCGUAACUAUAACGGUCCUAAGGUAGCGAAAUUCCUUGUCGGGUAAGUUCCGACCUGCACGAAUGGCGUAAUGAUGGCCAGGCUGUCUCCACCCGAGACUCAGUGAAAUUGAACUCGCUGUGAAGAUGCAGUGUACCCGCGGCAAGACGGAAAGACCCCGUGAACCUUUACUAUAGCUUGACACUGAACAUUGAGCCUUGAUGUGUAGGAUAGGUGGGAGGCUUUGAAGUGUGGACGCCAGUCUGCAUGGAGCCGACCUUGAAAUACCACCCUUUAAUGUUUGAUGUUCUAACGUUGGCCCGUAAUCCGGGUUGCGGACAGUGUCUGGUGGGUAGUUUGACUGGGGCGGUCUCCUCCUAAAGAGUAACGGAGGAGCACGAAGGUUGGCUAAUCCUGGUCGGACAUCAGGAGGUUAGUGCAAUGGCAUAAGCCAGCUUGACUGCGAGCGUGACGGCGCGAGCAGGUGCGAAAGCAGGUCAUAGUGAUCCGGUGGUUCUGAAUGGAAGGGCCAUCGCUCAACGGAUAAAAGGUACUCCGGGGAUAACAGGCUGAUACCGCCCAAGAGUUCAUAUCGACGGCGGUGUUUGGCACCUCGAUGUCGGCUCAUCACAUCCUGGGGCUGAAGUAGGUCCCAAGGGUAUGGCUGUUCGCCAUUUAAAGUGGUACGCGAGCUGGGUUUAGAACGUCGUGAGACAGUUCGGUCCCUAUCUGCCGUGGGCGCUGGAGAACUGAGGGGGGCUGCUCCUAGUACGAGAGGACCGGAGUGGACGCAUCACUGGUGUUCGGGUUGUCAUGCCAAUGGCACUGCCCGGUAGCUAAAUGCGGAAGAGAUAAGUGCUGAAAGCAUCUAAGCACGAAACUUGCCCCGAGAUGAGUUCUCCCUGACUCCUUGAGGGUCCUGAAGGAACGUUGAAGACGACGACGUUGAUAGGCCGGGUGUGUAAGCGCAGCGAUGCGUUGAGCUAACCGGUACUAAUGAACCGUGAGGCUUAACCUU
rnacentral:rRNA from 1 species